AAAAACAUGGCUUUUUGAUAAUAAUUUAAAGUCAGGCCUGCCCUAUGAAUUUUAAAUGGCUGCAGUAUCUUAACUGUGCAAAGGUAGCAUAAUCAUUAGUUUUUUAAUUGGAAGCUUGUAUGAAAGGUUCAAUGAGAAAAUAGCUGUCUCUAUAAAAAUUUAUUAGAAUUUUAUUUUUAAGUAAAAAAGCUUAAAUUAUAAUAAAAGACGAGAAGACCCUAUAGAGUUUCAUAAUUAUUUAAAAUAAAUAUUAUUUAGUAUUUUAAAUUUUUAUUUUAUUAUAUUAUUUAGUUGGGGCGAUUGGAAAAUUAAAUAAACUUUUCUUUAUAAAUACAUUAAUUUAUGAUUUUAUGAUCCUUUAUUUAAAGAUUAAAAGAUAAAAUUACCUUAGGGAUAACAGCGUAAUUUUUUUUGAGAGUUCUAAUCGAAAAAAAAGAUUGCGACCUCGAUGUUGGAUUAAAAUAUAUUUUUGGUGUAGAAGCUAAAAUAGUUAGGUCUGUUCGACCUUUAAAAUUUUACUUGAUCUGAGUU
rnacentral:rRNA from 1 species